AUUGAACGCUGGCGGCAUGCUUUACACAUGCAAGUCGAACGGUAACAGGGUGCUUGCACCGCUGACGAGUGGCGAACGGGUGAGUAAUGCGUCGGAACGUGCCGAGUAGUGGGGGAUAACGCAGCGAAAGUUGUGCUAAUACCGCAUACGUACUGAGGUAGAAAGUGGGGGACCUUCGGGCCUCACGCUAUUCGAGCGGCCGACGUCUGAUUAGCUAGUAGGUGAGGUAAAGGCUCACCUAGGCGACGAUCAGUAGCGGGUCGGAGAGGAUGAUCCGCCACACUGGGAAUGGGACACGGCCCAGACUCCUACGGGAGGCAGCAGUGGGGAAUUUUGGACAAUGGGCGAAAGCCUGAUCCAGCCAUGCCGCGUGUCUGAAGAAGGCCUUCGGGUUGUAAAGGACUUUUGUCAGGGAGGAAAUCCCUAGCGUUAAUACCGCUGGGGGAUGACAGUACCUGAAGAAUAAGCACCGGCUAACUACGUGCCAGCCGCCGCCGUAACAC
rnacentral:rRNA from 1 species